AUACCCCCUACUUCCAGAUGGGCCCUAAUGUCCAUUUCAAAGCAGUCAGGUUUCUUUGCCCUCCUUACUCAUUUUUUUUAAGGUUUUUUUUUUUUUUAAUAGGCAAGUCUUAGUAACAUGGAGAACUUUCUCACUGUUUCCAGCCACACCCGAAAUUCUUAAUCUUAACACACACGGGUGAAUGUGCGCGCAUGCGCACCCCCCCCCCCCAAGCACACAUUCCUCACUUCAAGUCCAAGGCCUACAAAAAGAGUUUUCUGUUGAAGGUCAGCAGCUCUGAUCACAUUUCCUUAUUUAGCACAUUGUUUUUGCUGAGGUCGAUUCCAUUACCUUGAGUUCACGGAAGUAGAGCCCAUUAGAAGCGACGGCAGUCCAGAGGCUCCCAAACAGGCUGAGAGAUGCUAAACUUAGGUUCACUGGGCUACUGUGGUUUAUUGACAGAGACCUCUCUCUCUCUCUCUCAAUUUUAAUGGAGCCUGCAUUUUCCUGCUUUACAGCCACAAACCGGUUUAUAGUGGGAAGAAAGGAAACUUGGGGCUUUGGUCCCAGAUGUCAGCAUCCACUCUUAUCUCUGCCCUUAAAUUCCCUACUCCUCCAGCAAGUGACCUACUUCCCAUGGCCCUAGCAUGGCUCCGCAACACCCACAUCCGGGCCUCAGGCUGGCCCAGGCAGGCGUGCAGAUGAGGCAGCCCUGUGUCUGGUCCUGGUGGAGUGGGUUAUGGGCCUCAGCACUGACUCAGGCUCAGUGUUAGUGUCAAGGUAUUGGCUUUCUGCUUCUUUCCAUCCCACAGCUGUUGUGGUGGUCUAGGCCUCCACAGCUUCCUCAGCUGCUUGCCCCACUUUAAUCCACUCUGCACACAGCUGCCUGAGCAGUAUUUCUAAACCAUAAGUCUCAACAGUUAUUGCCCUGCUUUAAAACCCUCCUAUGUCUUCCUAUUGUCAUUAGAAUGUACUGGAUGGUGACUAACAUAAUAAAAAAAUAUUAUUAUAAUUCUUAGGAAGAUAAAAAAAAAAAAGAAUACAAUCUAGACUCGUUACCAUGGCCGUGAGGCCCAGAUGACCUGGCUCUUGCUUCCCUCCUUUCCUUGCCUCUGCCACUGCCCCUCACUCUCACUGCUCCAGCCACACUGGCUUCCUUCCUGUUCCUUGAAGACCCCAAGCAUAUUCCUGCCACAGUGCCUUUGCAUUUGCUGUUCUCUCUAACCGGGCACCUCUUUCACUCUUUGCAUCCUUGCUUCUCAUCAUUCGGUUCUCUGCUCGGUGUUACUUUUCUGACUACUGUGGGUAAAGAGGACACCCUUCCCCUAAAUCCACCCACCACUCAAUCCCAUACCGAUUUGUUUUCUUACAGUAUUGAUCAGUGUCAGCAGUGACCUUUGUGACUUGUUUGGGGUCUGAUCUUUCUCCAAAGAAUUUCAGUGCCAUUCCCUGUCUCUACGUCGCUGGUGCUCUAAACAGCGCUGGGAGCCUGGUGUGACUGCCGUUGUGUUUACUAAGGGGCUGGGUGCGGUACCUGGCAUAUUGCAGGUGCUCAGUGUCGGUGGAAUCUCUGCUGCUUACCUGCUGUGUGGCCUCAGGAAAAUCACGAUUUCUGCGGCUGUGAAAUGGGGCAGGCUGGGAGUACCCAGGCAAACGGAGAACCUCUCUGAGUGGAGCAUUUUGGUUUUUUCUCCAAGUCUGUUGUUCUAAAGAAGUUGCGCAGAAACACAGACUCUGAUUUUCCAGCUGGGGCCGUUUUCUGCCCACCUUCCUGCCCUGGGAAGCAGCACAUGUGCCUGCGAGGCUCUCGGGGAGAGAGCGUUGGCCUGGAAAAUAUCCCAAUGCCCAGGGGGGAGCGGAGAGGCGUGCCUGGGGGUGUUGAACUGUCUCUUGGAAAGAGUGUGGGAAGAAAGAAAGACUGGGGUAAAGGAACUCAGACUUCAGGGAGGUGGUGUAGGUUGAACCCUCAGACAAUGUCUGACGCUCACUGUGGGGACACAGAAAGGAUGAGUGAGGAACGUGACUCUUAUUAUUACUGUUGCUAGGCCGUGUGCACUUCCUUGAAAGAAGGAACCAGACAGGCCAUUUGCACAGUUCUCUGCCUCAUUUUGCCUUCACUACAGCCUUUGGGGCAGGUACUUUUAGAAACCUUGCUUGGAGCUGAAGAAACGGAGGCAGAGAGGGUCUUGCUGCAGAUCCAGGAUUAAACACAUUCAGACUCUUCUAACUCUGAGGUUUCUCGGAACUCCCCAGUCUUCUUUGCUUUUGCUCAGCCCGAUCUGUUUCCUUGUAGUUACCCGGAGGAGGACAACCGCUCUGAGAUGAACCGGCUGUUGGCUUGUUUGAGAGGGAACAGGGCUCCAAAGAAGAAGGAUCACCACUGCCUGGCUUUGCAGGAGUAUCCGCAGGUGGACCCCGGGGGCCGGUAGGGAUGCUGCUCCUCCUGGGGCAGCCAGCAUGGCCAGGUAGGCGUGGAGAGUGACCCCGGGGGUCUGAGGCCUGAGACCCAGGGCUUCCGCACCGCCGGCCUGGCCCGGCUGGUCCAACCGUGGGAGGCAGAGCUUGGCUGUGUUUAUCCAGGCUGGCUCUUCCGGAGCAGAUGGGCGCCUGUCAGUGCUGCCAGCCAGGAACUGGGCUGACGUCCUCUCUUUGCCAAGUGGCAGAAAGGAAUCAAGAAGAAGAUUGGAAAAUGAUCCAUCCUCCUACCACCCAGAUGACCCCUUGUUCCUGCUUCUUAAAUGCAGAUGGAAAAGAGUUGAAAUGCUAUAGAAAGACACAGAAUGCGAAGUAAAACUCUCUCAUGGCUUCCUCCCCGAUUCCAGUUCCUGUUCCUAAAAGUUUGUGCCCUUCACGGCCUCUUACACAUCCCUCCAGAAAGAGUUUAGCACAUUUGUCAGCAUCAUAAAUGCAUUAUGUAUAUUCUAUUCAUAGAAGUUUCUCCCAGAAGUUAAGAAGGGUUGCUCUCUGUCCUUUGAUAGUUCAUUUUUAUGUUUUUUUUUUUUGUGUUUUUCUUCCCUGUCCUAUCACAUCUGCAUUUAAGAACUAGUCGAGGAACUGGGUGUCCUGUGCUCCCCAGCCUUGGACUAGCGGGGUGACAUCAGCAAGUCACUUCACUUCACUGAGGCUCAGUUUUCUCAUCGUGAAAAUGGGGAUUCUGGUGGGGCUUCCACCAGAGCGUGCCUGCAGCAAGGCCUGCUUAGCUGGGAGGCGUUCCACACGUGUCAGAGCAUUCCCUUAGCCCCUUUUCCAAGGAGGCAGGGCUGCCAGUUCUAAAUAAAUGUUACAGAAGGACCUGUCAGCAGUUGCCCCUCAGAAUGACCUGUCACUUCAUUUCCCGGCUACAGGAAGAGGAGCAUGGGAGUCUCCUGACAGGAGAUGACGGGGUCACACGAAUUCCUCACCCUCGGUGUUGGC